UACGUAGGGUGCAAGCGUUAAUCGGAAUUACUGGGCGUAAAGCGUGCGCAGGCGGUUAUGCAAGACAGAUGUGAAAUCCCCGGGCUUAACCUGGGAACCGCAUUUGUGACUGCAAGGCUGGAGUACGGCAGAGGGGGAUGGAAUUCCGCGUGUAGCAGUGAAAUGCGUAGAUAUGCGGAGGAACACCGAUGGCGAAGGCAAUCCCCUGGGCCUGUGACUGACGCUCAUGCACGAAAGCGUGGGGAGCAAACAGG
rnacentral:rRNA from 1 species